rnacentral:rRNA from 1 species
AUUGAACGCUGGCGGCAGGCCUAACACAUGCAAGUCGAGCGGAGCGGCGGACGGGUGAGUAAUGCCUAGGAAUCUGCCUGGUAGUGGGGGAUAACGUCCGGAAACGGGCGCUAAUACCGCAUAAUAGAAGAUGAGCCUAGGUCGGCUUAGCUAGUUGGUGGGGUAAAGGCCUACCAAGGCGAAGAUCCGUGACUGGUCUGAGAGGAUGAUCAGUCAGACUGGAACUGAUACACGGUCCAGAUUCCUACGGUAGGCAGCAGUGGGUAAUAUUGGACAAUGUGCGAAAGCCUGAUCCAGCCAUGCCGCGUGUGUGAAGAAGGUCUUCGGAUUGUAAAGCACUUUAAGUUGUGAGUCGUUACCAACAGAAUAAGCACCGGCGAACUUCGUGCCAGCCGCCGCGGUAAUAC